rnacentral:rRNA from 1 species
GACGAACGCUGGCGGCGUGCUUAACACAUGCAAGUCGAACGGAAAGGCCCUGCUUGCAGGGUACUCGAGUGGCGAACGGGUGAGUAACACGUGGGUUAUCUGCCCUGCACUUCGGGAUAAGCCUGGGAAACUGGGUCUAAUACCGGAUAGGAGCCAUUUUUAGUGUGAUGGUUGGAAAGUUUUUUCGGUGUAGGAUGAGCUCGCGGCCUAUCAGCUUGUUGGUGGGGUAAUGGCCUACCAAGGCGGCGACGGGUAGCCGGCCUGAGAGGGUGGACAGCCAAAUUGGGACUGGGAUACGGCCCAGACUCCUACGGGGGGCAGCAGUGGGGAAAAUUGCACAAUGGGCGCGAGCCUGAUGCAGCGACGCCGCGUGGGGGAUGACGGGCUUCGGGUUGGAAACUCCUUUCGCUAGGGACGAAGCUUUUUGUGACGGUACCUAGAGAAGAAGCACCGGCUAACUACGUG